rnacentral:rRNA from 1 species
AGAGUUUGAUUCUGGCUCAGGAUGAACGCUGGCGGCGUGCCUAACACAUGCAAGUCGAACGGAGUUAUGAUGUGAGCGGGAAGUGCUUGCACUAAACAAUCUUUUCAUAACUUAGUGGCGGACGGGUGAGUAACGCGUGGGUAACCUGCCCUGUACUGGGGGACAACAGUUGGAAACGACUGCUAAUACCGCAUAAGCGCACGGGAUCGCAUGAUCCAGUGUGAAAAACUCCGGUGGUACAGGAUGGACCCGCGUCUGAUUAGCUGGUUGGUGAGGUAACGGCCCACCAAGGCAACGAUCAGUAGCCGGCCUGAGAGGGUGAACGGCCACAUUGGGACUGAGACACGGCCCAA